GUGACGGGGCCGCACAAGCGGAGGACAUGUGGUUUAAUUCGAUGAUACGCGAGGAACCUUACCUGGCUUAAAUGUAGAGUGCAUUUUUAGAGAUAGAAAUUCCCUUCGGGGCUUUCUGCAAGGUGCUGCAUGGUUGUCGUCAGCUCGUGCCGUGAGGUGUCGGGUUAAGUCCCAUAACGAGCGCAACCCUUAUCGUUAGUUGCCAGCUGGUAAAGCAGGGGACUCUAGCGAAACUGCCACCGUAAGGUGAGAGGAAGGUGGGAUGACGUCAAAUCAGCACGGCCCUUAUGUCCAGGGCUACACGCGUGUUACAAUGGCCGGCACAGAGGGCAGCUACCUGGUGACAGGAUGCUAAUCUCGAAAACCGGUCUCAGUUCGGAUCGAAGUCUGCAACCCGACUCCAUGAAGCUGGAUUCGCUAGUAAUCGCGCAUCAGCCAUGGCGCGGUGAAUACGUUCCCGGGCCUU
rnacentral:rRNA from 1 species